rnacentral:rRNA from 1 species
CCCGCUGAACUUAAGCAUAUCAAUAAGCGGAGGAAAAGAAACCAACAGGGAUUGCCCUAGUAACGGCGAGUGAAGCGGCAACAGCUCAAAUUUGAAAUCUGGCCUCACGGUCCGAGUUGUAAUUUGCAGAGGAUGCUUUUGGCGCGGUGCCUUCCGAGUUCCCUGGAACGGGACGCCAUAGAGGGUGAGAGCCCCGUCUGGUUGGACACCUAGCCUCUGUAAAGCUCCUUCGACGAGUCGAGUAGUUUGGGAAUGCUGCUCUAAAUGGGAGGUAUAUGUCUUCUAAAGCUAAAUACCGGCCAGAGACCGAUAGCGCACAAGUAGAGUGAUCGAAAGAUGAAAAGCACUUUGAAAAGAGGGUUAAACAGUACGUGAAAUUGUUGAAAGGGAAGCGCUUGUGACCAGACUUGGGCUUGGUAAAUCAUCUGGCGUUCUCGCCAGUGCACUUUGCCGGUCCAGGCCAGCAUCAGUUCGCCGUGGGGGAUAAAGGUUUCGGGAAUGUGGCUCCCCCGGGAGUGUUAUAGCCCGUUGCGCAAUACCCUGGGGCGGACUGAGGUUCGCGCUCCACAAGGAUGCUGGCGUAAUGGUCAUCAGCGACCCGUCUUGAAACACGG